AUUGAACGCUGGCGGAAUGCUUUACACAUGCAAGUCGAGCGGCAGCGCGGCCUUCGGGCUGGCGGCGAGCGGCGAACGGGUGAGUAAUGCAUCGGAACAUGCCCAGUCGUGGGGGAUAACACUUCGAAAGAAGUGCUAAUACCGCAUACGUCCUGAGGGGGAAAGCGGGGGAUCGCAAGACCUCGCGCGAUUGGAGUGGCCGAUGUCAGAUUAGCUAGUUGGUGGGGUAAAGGCCUACCAAGGCGACGAUCUGUAGCUGGUCUGAGAGGAUGAUCAGCCACACUGGGACUGAGACACGGCCCAGACUCCUACGGGAGGCAGCAGUGGGGAAUUUUGGACAAUGGGGGCAACCCUGAUCCAGCCAUUCCGCGUGAGUGAAGAAGGCCUUCGGGUUGUAAAACUCUUUCGGCAGGAACGAAACGGUGGGCUCUAACAUAGUCCGCUAAUGACGGUACCUGAAGAAGAAGCACCGGCUAACUACGUG
rnacentral:rRNA from 1 species